UUUAAUAUUCCAGCACCAGCCAGGAUUAAGGCCGGAAAGGAAGCAGCGGGAAAAGUGACAGGGCAAUCGAAUGCUCAGCCUAGGCUUCGGCCAAAGCGCGUCACCGGACUAGCUGUCUAGAAAAGUUUCCGGUUGUUUCCCUGGGUGCCCGUACCGUAAACCGACACAGGUGGGUGGGUCGAGUAGACCAAGGCGCGCGAGAGAAACCUCUCUAAGGAACUCGCAAAAUAGCCCCGUAACUUCGGGAGAAGGGGUGCCUGAGCAAUCAGGCCACAGUAAAUUGGGUUUAGCGACUGUUUAACAAAAACACAGCACUCUGCCAAGUUGUGAAAACAACGUAUAGGGUGUGACACGUGACCAAUGCGGAAAGAUCAAGGUGACUUGUUAGCCGCAAGGCGAAGCUCGGAGCCUAAGUCCCCGUGAAUGUCGGCCGUAACUAUAACGGUCCUAAGGUAGCGAAAUUCCUUGUCGGGUAAGUUCCGACCUGCACGAAUCGUGUAACGACUGAACCGCUGUCUCGGAGAGGAUCUCGGCGAAAUUGUAACGGCGGUGAAGAUGCCGCCUGCCCGCAGUAGGACGGAAAGACCCUAUGCACCUUUACUGUAAGCUGGUAUUGUGUUCUGAUUAAUGAUGCGUAGCGUAGGUGGGAGACUUUGAAGCAGUGGCUUCGGUUGCUGCUGAGUCGCAAUGUGAAACACCACUCUUUGUUAAUUAGGAUUCUAACCUCAUGCUGUUAGCCAGCUGAGGGACAGUGCCUGCGGGUCAGUUUGACUGGGGCGGUUUCCUCCCAAAGAGUAACGGAGGAGCGCUAAGGUACUCUCAGCAUGGUUUGCAACCAUGCGUCGAGCGUAUGGGUAGAAGAGUGCUUAACUGCGAGACCAACAAGUCGAGCAGAUACGAAAGUAGGCCCAAAUGAUCCGAUGGUUGAAUAUGGAAUUGCCAUCGCUCAACGGACAAAAGGUACGCUAGGGAUAACAGGCUGAUCGAUUCCAAGAGUUCAUAUCGACGAAUCGGUUUGGCACCUCGAUGUCGGCUCAUCGCAUCCUGGGGCUGGAGAAGGUCCCAAGGGUCCGGCUGUUCGCCGGUUAAAGCGGUACGCGAGCUGGGUUCAGAACGUCGUGAGACAGUUCGGUCCUUAUCCACUGUGGGCGCAGGAAACUUGAGGGGUUCAUUCUCUAGUACGAGAGGACCGAGAAUGACGCACUUCUGGUGUGGCAGUUGUUCCGUCAGGGGCAGCGCUGCGUAGCCAUGUGCGGAAGAGAUAAGCGCUGAAAGCAUCUAAGUGCCAAGCUCCUCCCAAGAUAUUGUUUCCCGGACGCAAGUCCCUAAAGACCCCAUGUAGACCACGUGGUUGAUAGGUCAGGCGUGUAAGUGCCGCAAGGCAUUCAGCGGACUGAUACUAAUUGGUCGUGCGGCUUGAUCGC
rnacentral:rRNA from 1 species